rnacentral:rRNA from 1 species
UACGAAGGGGGCUAGCGUUGUUCGGAUUUACUGGGCGUAAAGCGCACGUAGGCGGCUUUGUAAGUUAGAGGUGAAAGCCCGGGGCUCAACUCCGGAAUUGCCUUUAAGACUGCAUCGCUAGAAUUGUGGAGAGGUAAGUGGAAUUCCGAGUGUAGAGGUGAAAUUCGUAGAUAUUCGGAAGAACACCAGUGGCGAAGGCGACUUACUACACAAAUAUUGACGCUGAGGCACGAAAGCGUGGGGAUCAAACGGG